rnacentral:rRNA from 1 species
CACGUAGGGCGCGAGCGUUGUCCGGAAUUAUUGGGCGUAAAGAGCUCGUAGGCGGCCUGUUGCGUCCGCUGUGAAAGCCCGGGGCUUAACCCCGGGUCUGCAGUGGAUACGGGGCAGGCUAGAGGUAGGUAGGGGGAGAAUGGAAUUCCCGGUGUAGCGGUGAAAUGCGCAGAUAUCGGGAGGAACACCGGUGGCGAAGGCGGUUUCUCUGGGCCUUACCUGACGCUAGGAGCGAAAAGCGUGGGGAGCAACGGAUUAGAAAACCCCUGGGU